rnacentral:rRNA from 1 species
CCAAUAGCGUAUAUUAAAGUUGUUGCAGUUAAAAAGCUCGUAGUUGAAUUUCGGGAUCAGUACGCUGGUCGUGCCUUCGGUAUGUACUGGUGUUACUGGUUCCUACCUUCUGACGAACCGUCAUGUCAUUAAUUUGGUGUGGCGGGGAAUCAGGACUGUUACUUUGAAAAAAUUAGAGUGUUUAAAGCAGGCUCGCGCUUGAAUACAUUAGCAUGGAAUAAUGAAAUAGGACGUUCAAUCCUAUUUUGUUGGUUUCUAGGACUGACGUAAUGAUUAAUAGGGAUAGUUGGGGGCAUUAGUAUUCAAUUGUCAGAGGUGAAAUUCUUGGAUUUAUUGAAGACUAACUACUGCGAAAGCAUUUGCCAAGGAUGUUUUCAUUAAUCAAGAACGAAAGUUAGGGGAUCGAAGACGAUCAGAUACCGUCGUAGUCUUAACCAUAAACUAUGCCGACUAGGGAUCGGAUGAUGUUAAUUUUUUAAUGACUCAUUCGGCGCCUUACG